rnacentral:tRNA from 1 species
CCGCAAGUGGGCCGCCCGGCGGCUCGACGAGUACGGCGUCGCGGAGGCCGAGGUCGUCGGCACGGGCGCGGUUCCGGCCGAGUUGGCGGACC